rnacentral:lncRNA from 1 species
GAGGUCAAGGAACUUGGAUAAUACUGCCCCACUUUCAGCGCUCAUUUGGAGCCUCAAAUAUGAAUGGACAGUUUACCACCCAAGUACAGGAAGGACAUUGUGUGGCAGUGAUUGCUGCACGUUCAACAGAAGCCACAGCCAGACUACAGUUCCCAGCCUCCCUCGUAGUGAGAUGAGCCAUCGGGAUGUGGCACAAACGAGGUUCAUCACUUGCCGUCCCAGCCUAUAAAAACCUCCCACACAAUUCUCCUCUCUUUAGCUUCCCAUCUAUAGGACAGACACUAAGCAUCCUGCAUAGGACCCAAGGGCCUAGUGGUGACCGAAUCACAGGGAGCCCAAGUACCCAAACGACCCUUCCACCAAAUGGGUGGAAGGCCACCUGUUGACCCAGAAUAUUCUUACUGGAUUACAAGUGAGUAAUGCAGAGUUGACUCACACCUCUGAGGAGGGGACAUUGAACAGCAGUGCUGAUAUCUCUGGGAGCUCCAUGAUGCUUAUUCUGGGAUUAGGGAAAAAACUGGAAACUGGAACCAACUGCUUUUAGAACCAGGGACUGUCACCAGGUAAAGAAGUAGUGCCCAAGUGACAUUUACAGGUAUAGCAAAACAAAACAACCUCCCCCGGAACCAUUAACAAGCAACAAACCAAAACUAAAAACCAGCCCAGGAAGCAGCAUGUCCCUUAUCUCUCCUCCAUUCUUGCAGUCUCCUUCCAGAACCUGCUACUGGCAGAACCUUCAGGAAGAAGUUGGCAAAGUCGAAUAUGCUUUGCAGAAUUCCAGACCCACUGUCACAAAACUGAAUAUAGAAAAAUGGCUUUCCAGUAAAGAGGCAAUAACUUAAUUACCAGCAUAAGAAGACAUAUACUUUCAUUGUGUUAAACCACUAAGAUAUUUGGUAUUCGUUACAGCAGC